rnacentral:rRNA from 1 species
GUCCACGCCGUAAACGAUGGGUGCUAGAUGUUUCUGGUAUUGACCCCGGAGGCGUCGUAGCUAACGCGUUAAGCACCCCGCCUUGGAAGUACGGCCGCAAGGCUAAAACUCAAAGGAAUUGACGGGGGCCCGCACAAGCGGUGGAGCAUGUGGUUCAAUUCGACGCAACGCGCAGAACCUUACCUGGGUUGGAACCCCCUGGAAGUCCGCAGAGAUGUGGAUGUGCUCGCAAGAGAACCAGGUGUCCAGGUGCUGCAUGGCUGUCGU